GGAGGUCACCUCUAAGGCUGUCAUUUGGCAAUGUGGAGCCCCACGCCCUAUACUUCAUGUAGCAGCCGGUGCACAUAAAGAGGUUUGGGGGCAACCAUAUUGCAUCUGCCCCCCA